AAUUUAACGAAAUAAUCACUCGUUUUACACAGACUUCACCCAAAGUUUGGGUAGAGGCGGUUGGAAGCAGAACCUCGUGAAGGCAUUUUAGCGUCAGCAGCUCGGAGUGCAAGGAGUCAGCCAUUUCACCUGCCCCGGGCUGACGCUCUGUGGCUUUGAGCAAGGCGAUCUGCUCGUGCCUUGCUCCCUGCUGCGGAAGGAGCCAAGCGGCACUGCUGGCAAGUCCUCCCGCGUGACACCCGCUGUCACCAGCCCUGCUCGGUUUGAUUAUAUGGGUACCGGUGCACUUUCUGUGGGUUGUCGUAGCAACAAGGAAAUAGGCAAGUGGAAACCGACGGCACCCGCCUGCCUCCCCCAGCCUCUGUGGGGGCUGCACGGGAUGGUGCUUGGGAGGCUUGGGGGGAGCGAGGCACAGGGUCUAUCAGUAGGUUUAAACUUGGAGUUUCUUCACUUUGUGGUGCAUGCGUAA
rnacentral:lncRNA from 1 species